rnacentral:pre_miRNA from 1 species
GAAAGAGAUGUAUCUCUGAAUAGCCAAGGAAACUGCCUAACUGUCCGCAUUCGCAAUGUGAAGUCAAACUCGGUCUAAAGUGAUAGAUUGGUAUACAUUGCUUAUGCAAAUGCAGGCAAGUCAUCCUUGGCUACCGAAUAAAUCGCUAAUC